GACGAACGCUGGCGGCGUGCCUAAUACAUGCAAGUGGGACGCAAGGAAACACACUGUGCUUGCACACCGUGUUUUCUUGAGUCGCGAACGGGUGAGUAACGCGUAGGUAACCUGCCUAUUAGCGGGGGAUAACUAUUGGAAACGAUAGCUAAUACCGCAUAAUAUUAAUUAUUGCAUGAUAAUUGAUUGAAAGAUGCAAGCGCAUCACUAGUAGAUGGACCUGCGUUGUAUUAGCUAGUUGGUAAGGUAAGAGCUUACCAAGGCGACGAUACAUAGCCGACCUGAGAGGGUGAUCGGACACACUGGGACUGAGACACGGCCCAGACUCCUACGGGAGGCAGCAGUAGGGAAUCUUCGGCAAUGGACGAAAGUCUGACCGAGCAACGCCGCGUGAGUGAAGAAGGUUUUCGGAUCGUAAAGCUCUGUUGUAAGUCAAGAACGUGUGUGAGAGUGGAAAGUUCACACAGUGACGGUAGCUUACCAGAAAGGGACGGCUAACUACGUG
rnacentral:rRNA from 1 species